GUUGAAAUAGCUCAGUGGGAGAGCGUUAGACUGAAGAUCUUGAGUUCAAAUGUCAGUUUUAACA